GAUGAACGCUGGCGGCGUGCCUAACACAUUCAAGUCGAACGAACUGUAGAAAUACAGUGAGUGGCGGACGGGUGAGUAACGCGUAAGCAAUCUGCCUUUGUGUGUGGAAUAACAACCGGAAACAGUUGCUAAUACCGCAUAACGCAUAGGAGUCGCAUGGCUCUUAUGCCAAAGAUUUAUCGCACGAAGAUGAGCUUGCGUCCGAUUAGAUAGUUGGCGGGGUAACGGCCCACCAAGUCUGCGAUCGGUAGCCGGACUGAGAGGUUGAACGGCCACAUUGGAACUGAGAUACGGUCCAGACUCC
rnacentral:rRNA from 1 species